rnacentral:piRNA from 1 species
UGCAUGAAGGUAUAGACUAGGAUUCUGCACA